GAUGAACGCUGGCGGCGUGCUUAACGCAUGCAAGUCGAACGGAAAGGCUCCUGCUUGCAGGGGUACUCGAGUGGCGAACGGGUGAGUAACACGUGGGUGAUCUGCCCUGCACUUCGGGAUAAGCCUGGGAAACUGGGUCUAAUACCGGAUAGGACGAUGGUUUGGAUGCCAUUGUGGAAAGUUUUUUCGGUGUGGGAUGAGCUCGCGGCCUAUCAGCUUGUUGGUGGGGUAAUGGCCUACCAAGGCGUCGACGGGUAGCCGGCCUGAGAGGGUGUACGGCCACAUUGGGACUGAGAUACGGCCCAGACGCCUACGGGAGGCAGCAGUGGGGAAUAUUGCACAAUGGGCGCAAGCCUGAUGCAGCGACGCCGCGUGGGGGAUGACGGCCUUCGGGUUGUAAACUCCUUUCGCUAGGGACGAAGCGCAAGUGACGGUACCUGGAGAAGAAGCACCGGCUAACUACGUG
rnacentral:rRNA from 1 species